UGGGGAAUAUUGCACAAUGGAGGGAACUCUGAUGCAGCGACGCCGCGUGAACGAAGAAGGCUUUCGAGUCGUAAAGUUCUUUUAUAUGGGAAGAUAAUGACGGUACCAUAAGAAAAAGCCCCGGCUAACUACGUGCCAGCAGCCGCGGUAAUACGUAGGGGCUAGCGUUGUCCGGAAUCACUGGGCGUAAAGGGUUCGCAGGCGGAAAUGCAAGUCAGGUGUAAAAGGCAGUAGCUUAACUACUGUAAGCAUUUGAAACUGCAUAUCUUGAGAAGAGUAGAGGUAAGUGGAAUUUUUAGUGUAGCGGUGAAAUGCGUAGAUAUUAAAAAGAAUACCGGGGGCGAAGGCGACUUACUGGGCUCAUUCUGACGCUGAGGAACAAAAGCGUGGGUAGCAAACAGG
rnacentral:rRNA from 1 species